rnacentral:lncRNA from 10 species
GAAAUAUAUUUCAAUGAUUAAAAUUAACAGGAUGUACCACAGACUAGAUGUGAGAGGCAUAAAGAUUGACUGUAAAGAUUGUAGCCUGAGCACCCGGAAAGAAAGGAAUUCCUAUAAAUACACAGAGAGUAGAAAGAAUUUACCAAAGGCCAGUUAAGAGUGAUGGAAAAUACAGACAUCCUAAUUUUGAGAGGCCAAUUAAACAUUCAGACAAACUUCUGUACAAGGGCUGAAGACAGGACAAGAUGUGCUGAUGUAUAAAAAGUCUAAAUCUGCAGCAUAAUCGUGAAGAGAUGAGGAAAGCCACGUACUCAGAGCCUCACUUAAAGGAAAUGAAACAGUAAAACUGAAUCAGAUUUGGCUCUUCACUUCUGCCUUCAGUGCUGUCCAGACUCAGACAUUAUAUCAGUAGGUUUCAGUUUUACUAACCAAUAAGUUCUUUGUGUACUUAAAGUUGGUUGUUUUUUAAUGGGGAUGUGGAAUGGAGGGGUAAAUAUUUUGUGUUUUUUAAUGAGGAAUCCCAAACACUAGAGUUUUUUCUUUAUAUUGCAAAGGCACUGAUGCCCCUUCUCACAAAAUAUUUCAUGCUUCAGUAUUGGCCUAAAGUUGACUAUCUUUAUAUAAAUUAAAAUCUUCUCAUGUUUUAGUGGUGUUUUAGAAGAUCUUGACAUGUUACUUUUUGAAUUAAAGUGAAACGCAUAGCAUAUGGACUCAACAAAACCAUUCUCUGUGAAUAAAAUGUGUCACAUUCUAUAAUAAAACUAUAUAUAGCAUGUUAUUCCAUAUUCUGUAUGAUUAAUUUUAGAGAUUAUAUCUUGAAUUCUGCUAUCAAUCUACAAUGUUUAUUCAUUCAUUCAACAAAUAUUUGUUAAGAACUACUAUGUGUCAAGUACCUAGUUUGCAACAGUGAAUAAACAGAUAUUCUUGAGUUUGUGAAGUUUAUUAUAUUCAAGAGACAGAAAUAUAGAUAGUACACAAUUAACAUAACACCUAAGAAAAGAAUUUAAUAUGUAAUAAGAUCAUAAGUACAAUGAGAAAAAAUGCAUCACAGUAAGGAGACUGGGGAGAGUUUGCAAUGUGAAUCAUGUGGUCAGAGUGAGUCUCAUUGAAAAGUUAACAUUAGAACAAAGACUGGGAGAAGACGCAGUUGUGAGUCAUCUGUGUUCUGCAGCGGGAACGGCAAGUACAAAGGCUCUGAGGAAGGAGGGCGCCUGGAGUGUUUGCAGCAGUGUGAGGAGGUCAGCUUAAAAGUAGAAAUGAGAAGAAGAAUAGAUGAUAGGAUCAGCUGGCUAUGCAAUUUGCAGUGCAAAAUAAAUUUGUGGGGACUCUUGUUAAAAUUUCUUUCUCUUUUUUUAUUAUACUUUAAGUUCUGGGGUACGUGUGCACAACAUGCAGGUUUGUUACAUAGGUAUACAUGUGCCGUGUUGGUUUGCUGCACCCAUCAACUCAUCAUUUACAUUAGGUAUUUCUCCUAAUGCUAUCCCUCCC